rnacentral:sRNA from 1 species
GGCUGCGGGCGCUCGCUGGUGGCGGACCCGGAGGCGGCUGCGGCGCCGGGGCUCCGUGGCCUGGAUUGAAUCCGAUCGGGAGCCAUGAGCGUGGACAAAGCUGAGCUAUGCGGGUCUCUGCUCACCUGGUUACAGACGUUCCACGUUCCGUCUCCCUGUGCCAGCCCUCAGGACCUGAGCAGCGGCCUUGCCGUAGCCUAUGUGCUAAACCAGAUGUGAGUGGAGCUGAGGGGGAGGAUCCCAAAAGUGUCCCCCAGUCUGCUCAUCCCACCUUCUCGCCCCCAGAGACCCCUCCUGGUUCAACGAGGCAUGGCUCCAGGGCAUCUCGGAAGAUCCAGGUCCCAACUGGAAGCUGAAGGUGACAAGUGGACUCCUGAUUAGAGGACAGACUGGUGAAGAGAUGACCAGGGACGGGCCAGCUAGGCACAUGUCCUGGGUGAUGGGCAGGAAGAGGGACAGAUGUCUGGUGAUCAACCAUUUGUUCAUCCAUUCAUCUAUGGAGUACUCACCCUGUGCCAGGCCUGGGCAUUCAGCAAGGAAUAACACAGACAAAAACCUGCCCCAUACAGCCAUCAUUCUAGUGACAAGCAACACAUACACAACCAUAAAAAAACUUCCAGGCAUGAGCCACCGCGCCUGGCCUUCUUUCUUUUCUUUUACCUGUCUGCUAUUGAAAGAUUUGUAUUCUAGAAAGAUCCCUGGCUGCUGGAUGGAGUGGUUGAGAGUAGAAGAAGCUAGCAAGGGAAGAUGGUGGCUGAACCAACUUGGGAGCUUUGGGAUGGGAAGAAGUGGACAGCAGGGGGCUGUUCCAGGGGACACCUGCUAAGGGUGCGGAGGGUUGUGGCUCUGAUAGCUGUGGAGCUGGUGGGACCAGGGCACACAGCCCCCAGGCAUGAGGGGCAGGCAGAGAGGGCUCUGUGGCCAUGUAGGGACACUUCUGGC